AGACACACACACAAUGAGGAAAAAAAAAAUCAAAGACAGUGGCUGUAGUUUCAGCUAAGUCUGCAGAUCAAGCGGCCGCCAUUCAUUGAUUUCAAAAUCAAAGAAUGGCGGCUGUGCUGGUGCGGCCGUCGGCGACUCACACCUGCAAAUUCAACACCUUCGUUGUCGUCGCGAGAUUUUUCGAACUCGCCGUCGUCCCACCACCGUCUUCGUAAACCUCCUCUGCAAAUCCCGGAAAACCACCCUCCGCAACCUCUGCUUCGGUGUGCAGGGCAACAGAGAGCCAGAUCCGAAGGAACGGCGACCACAGCUGGCACAGGUGAUAUCGGCGCGGCUUGAGUGGCGAUCGGCAGCAGCGUGGCCAAUGGUGGUCGUGCGCACGGCGUCUCUCGCAAGAUUGCAGCGUGGCCAGUGGUGGUCGCGCGACGGCGCGCGGGCUGUGUGGAUUGGUUCGUCGCCGCCGUUGCAGAUCUGAAUCGCGAGAGCUAGGGCUUCAAGGAUUUGCUCGUCGGACACCAGGAGACCAAGCCGUCUGGAGAUUUGCCUACGAAGAGGCGACGUCCGGCGACGGAGGCUCUAGGGUUUGCGAUCCACGUUGUGCAGCCCAUAGGCGGGACUUAACCUAGUCGGCCCUCCAGGUAAGUCACUAUACUCUACACUCCUCCAGUCCAGCCAAACUGCAUACACUCUUAAGCUCGGGACUGACUGUUGCCUCGUCAAACUGGCCCCCUCAACCUAGUGAACUGGGGACUUGCAUAUUCUAUGAGCACGGUUGAUGGUACCCACACACUAUCUGAGAUAUGUGAUUGCACUUUAUAUGUAUUAGCAACGGUACCGUGCUCUGUAUUCUAUAUCUGUACUGUAUCUGUCUGUAAUCUUCCACAUGGAUCUGAUACUAUAUAUAUACAUACUAUACUCUUUAUACUGUUUUCAUUAUAUUUUCAAAAUAACCAUAACACUAUAUUGCUGUACUGUAAAUACUGUAAUAUCUGUAGCAUCUUGAUGCUAUAACUGUGUAAUCUGUCUGUACUUUUUUUCUAUAUAAUCUGUCUGUGCUUCCUUUCUG